UGAUUUCUAGCUGUCUAACCC
rnacentral:miRNA from 1 species